UUAUCUCUGUAGAGUCUGCAUAUCAAUAAGCGGAGGAAAAGAAACUAACUAAGGAUUUCCCUUAGUAACGGCGAGUGAAGCGGGAAGAGCUCAAAUUUGAAAUCUUCAAGGUUUUACCUUGACGAAUUGUAGUUUAAAGAAGUGUUUUCUGUUGAAGUUUCGGUAAAAGUUCUUUGGAAUAGGACAUCAUAGAGGGUGAGAAUCCCGUAUUUGACCAGUUAUUUUCAGCUGUGUGAUACACUUUCAAAGAGUCGGAUUGUUUGGGAAUGUAGUCCAAAAUGGGUGGUAAAUUUCAUCUAAAGCUAAAUAUUGGCGAGAGACCGAUAGCGAACAAGUACCGUGAGGGAAAGAUGAAAAGAACUUUGAAAAGAGAGUUAAACAGUACGUGAAAUUGUCAAAAGGGAAGCGUUUGACACCAGUGUUGUUUUCUCGAAAAUCAAUUAAAAAAGGCAGGAUUUUGUGUUGUAUUGACUUUAUCAGCUUUCUGCACUCUUUUCUUGUCUUUUUUAAUGCACUUUUCGUUUAACAUAGUCAACAUCAAUUUCUUUUGUUGUAAAAGGGUCAUUGGAAGGUGGCUUUCUUUUCGGAGAAAGUGUUUAUAGCCUUUGGCCUCUGCAAUCGGAGAGAUUGAGGUCUGCAGCGUAGAUCCUUCGGGGUUAGAUACAUUUGUGCUAAGUUAUAGCCUUUCAUAGACAACUUGUUGACUAUGAUCAGUCAUGUAGCUUACUCGCUUAUGCUAUUUUACCUACGCUUAGGAUGUUGAUCUGUAGUGCGUGCGC
rnacentral:rRNA from 1 species